CAAAAAGCAGUGGUCUGUUGUUGCCUUGUGAGCAGUCCACUCGUAACCUUCAGGGAUAUAAAACCAUUGUUAUUGGGUGAACCGCUGUUCCAUAUUUUGUGAUCGUAGGUUCAGUAAAUGAUGGAACAUUU
rfam:Cicer arietinum chromosome Ca8, whole genome shotgun sequence.